CCCUCCUUGCUAAAGCUAAACACUAUAUAUUUCAAAAUUGGCGUCCAACCAAUUUCUACCUAACAUCAAUGAUAUGGUGCCCUUAUCCUAUUUCGAAUUUUCAACUUCUAAUCUCUAAGUUGUUGGUUUGUUGAAAAGGGGAGAAUUCAUACAUACACAAAAACAGAGAGGAGCAACCAUUACAUAAUCUGUGUUGACUCAGUAUAUAUCUCAGAAUUUUCAUCUUCAACAUCAAUUAAAAAGGUUAGUCAACCAUGGUCUUAGCUAAACAAAGUUUAUUUAACUGAAUUUUUAUAUCUGCAAUCGUGUUUUCUGCAAUGACUUUCUCCAGUUUCUUUGUAUUCUUUCUCCUGAUUAGGUUUUAUGUAUAUUUUAUACAUCAGAUUUUGAGAACAUGAAAGGAAGGGAAGGAACAGUUACAACAAUGGAAAGAGGAAAAGAAAUUGAAGGAGAAAGAGAGAAAGGGAAAGCAAUCAAAUUAUCGGUAUGUCAUACAAUUUGUACAAUCAUAUAUAAAAGGGAAGGCACACAACCCUUAAUAGUAGUAUCUGUUCAAAGUUACAAAUAGGUUUCUGCCAGAAGAAAACCAAAGUGUUUUUUCUCUCACUCGCUCAUAAAUCGUUUUUCAAAUUUUCUCCCUAAUAUAAGUAAUACUAAGAAUUCUCGAAAGAGGAAGCCUUUGAAUUUAUGAUAAUGGGACCCUCAACAGUAAUUUCAGUCAAAAGCUACAAUUAUAUACAAUUUGAAUAUAACCUUUUAUUGAACAAAAUGUGGUAAAAAAAUUAUAUAUACAUACAACUUAUAUAAAAUUAUGUUAGUUGUAUAUAUUGUAUGCCGUUUAUACAAUCGACAUAUAAGAUAUAUACAAUUUACUUAAUGGUUGCCAAAAUAUAGACCGAGUCAAAAAGGAAGAGAAAAGCCUUGCCUUCAUCUAUUGAGUAACAAGAAUAUAUAUACAAAUAGUAAAUCCUAGUCCUAACAAAUAUAAAAAAAAUACACCUACCACUUCUACUCGAAAAGUUGUCACCCGUCUUCCCUAAAUUAUGUGCAUAAACACACGUAUCCAAAUACUUGAAGAUGCCCAUACAUAGGCACUCUGACCAUAUAAAAGCUUAUAAGGGGUUUUUCCAUUCAAAGUUAAGGACGGAGCUCCAUUAAUCAAAUGGCAUGCUGUCAAAUACAUCCCCCCCCAAAAAAAAAAACUCUAUAGGUAAAUUACCUUGAAAAUGCAAGGCCCGUGCUACAUUCAAUAUGUGAUGAUGUUUUCUUUCCACGCUUAUUGAAUUAUCUCUUCACAGUUUGGCUACUUCUUUCUUAUCAAUCAAUAAAAAACUCUACUAGCACGCGAAUAAUCAUCUUCAAUAAUAAAAAAUACGAUGCACCUCAAGACUAAGUCAUUCGAUAAAGUACCCAUAAAUUACAAUGAAUUAAUUCACAAAUGCUAGAAACUCUAAAAUUACUCAAAGAAAUUUUUUUCUCUCCUUUGUUUUGUCCGAUGACACACAUCACAACUCUUAUACAAAACGUCAUUUUUUUUUAAAUCUACAACAAAAAUUGAUUAGGUCACUUAUAGAGAAGGAUGUCCCAAAUGCUUGUACCAAAGAUUCAACAAGUCAACGCCACUUAUCUUCAGCGCACACACCCUCGACUUGUUCUAAAAAAAGUAGAAUCCAUCUCUUCGUUCACACACUCCAGUCAACAUCCUUGAGGUGAUGUCAUGUAUAACACAUAAAAUUUUAAUGCAUAGGAAAAAAAUCUGAGUGAUCCAUCAAUCGCGAUAGAUAUCAAUUGCACGUUAAGCCGGAC
rnacentral:lncRNA from 1 species